rnacentral:rRNA from 1 species
GACCGAAAUCAGCCAAACUCCGAAUGCCGGUAAGUGAGAGCGCGGCAGUGAGACUGCGGGGGAUAAGCUCCGUAGUCGAGAGGGAAACAGCCCAGAUCACCAGCUAAGGCCCCUAAGCGAUUGCUAAGUGGAAAAGGAUGUGGAGUUGCCCAGACAACCAGGAGGUUGGCUUAGAAGCAGCCACCCUUGAAAGAGUGCGUAAUAGCUCACUGGUCAAGUGAUUCCGCGCCGACAAUGUAGCGGGGCUCAAGCAAUCCGCCGAAGCUGUGCAUUCAUAUUAGUACUCGGCACCGACUUGAUUGGUGUCCAGGUGUGUGGAUGGGUAGGGGAGCGUCGUGCAGCGUGUGAAGCAGCAGAGUGAUCUAGUUGUGGAUGCUGCACGAGUGAGAAUGCAGGCAUGAGUAGCGAAUGACGGGUGAGAAACCCGUCCGCCGAAUGAUCAAGGGUUCCAGGGUCAAGCUAAUCUGCCCUGGGUAAGUCGGGACCUAAGGCGAGGCCGACAGGCGUAGUCGAUGGACAACGGGUUGAUAUUCCCGUACCGGCAUUAACACGACCCGACCGAGGUCACUGAUGCUAAAACCGAGAAGCUAGGCGGCCUUCGGGCCAAGUAGUGGAUCUGUUGACCCGAGGUGGUAUUAGGUGCACUAAGGAGUGACGCAGGAGGGCAGUCCAUCCGCGGCGAUGGUAGGCGCAAGCUGAUCCGCGGGCAAGGUGGUAGGGCGAGGCAUAGGCAAAUCCGUGUCUCAUGAAGCCUGAGAACCGAGGCGGACCCGUUCAGGGGAAGUGGAUGAUCCCAUGCUGCCAAGAAAAACUUCGUAGUGAGUGUUAGAGCCGCCCGUACCCCAAACCGACACAGGUGAUCAGGUAGAGAAUACCAAGGCGAUCGAGUGAACCAUGGUUAAGGAACUCGGCAAAAUGCCCCCGUAACUUCGGGAGAAGGGGGGCCGGAUGCGUUACAUGGCUUGCCCAUGGAAGCGUUGAUGGCCGCAGAGACCAGGCCCAAGCGACUGUUUACUAAAAACACAGGUCCGUGCGAAGAAGUAAUUCGAUGUAUACGGACUGACGCCUGCCCGGUGCUGGAACGUUAAGGGGACAGGUUAGCUGGUUUAGGCCGGCGAAGCUUUGAACUUAAGCGCCAGUAAACGGCGGUGGUAACUAUAACCAUCCUAAGGUAGCGAAAUUCCUUGUCGGGUAAGUUCCGACCUGCACGAAUGGCGUAACGACUUGGGCGCUGUCUCAACCAUGGACUCGGCGAAAUUGCAUUACGAGUAAAGAUGCUCGUUACGCGCAGCAGGACGGAAAGACCCCGGGACCUUUACUACAACUUGGUAUUGGUGGUCGGUACAACUUGUGUAGGAUAGGUGGGAGACUGUGAAAUCCGGACGCCAGUUCGGGUGGAGUCAUCGUUGAAAUACCACUCUGGUUGUUCUGGCUGUCUAACUUCGGUCCAUUAUCUGGAUCAGGGACAGUGCCUGGUGGGUAGUUUGACUGGGGCGGUCGCCUCCUAAAAGGUAACGGAGGCGCUCAAAGGUUCCCUCAGCCAG